GAGUUUGAUCGUGGCUCAGGACGAACGCUGGCGGCGUGCUUAACACAUGCAAGUCGAACGGAAAGGCCCCUUUGGGGUGCUCGAGUGGCGAACGGGUGAGUAACACGUGAGUAACCUGGCCUGGUCUUUGGGAUAACCUUCGGAAACGGGGGCUAAUACCGGAUAUUCCCGCUUCUGCGCAUGUGGGGGUGGGGAAAGCUUUUGCGGAUCGGGGUGGGCUCGCGGCCUAUCAGCUUGUUGGUGGGGUGAUGGCUUACCAAGGCUUUGACGGGUAGCCGGCCUGAGAGGGCGACCGGCCACACUGGGACUGAGACACGGCCCAGACUCCUACGGGAGGCAGCAGUGGGGAAUAUUGCACAAUGGACGCAAGUCUGAUGCAGCGACGCCGUGUGAGGGAUGACGGCCUUCGGUUGUAAACCUCUUUCG
rnacentral:rRNA from 1 species